UCUCUUUAAGACUCAACUCAGACACAAAGACUGAACUUUGGACUCAUGAUCCCAGUCCUUCCUUGAAGUAUGAGGCUGCUGACUGGAGUAACUGUGUUUCUGACCUUGGGGGCUGUGAUUGAUGCUAAGAUCACCCAGCCCAACUCCAUGGAUUAUGCUGAAGGAAAAGAUGUGAACCUGCCUUGUAACCACUCUACCAUCGGUGGAACUGACUAUAUACAUUGGUAUCGGCAAAAUCCCAACCAAAGGCCACAGUAUAUAAUUCAUGGCUUACGAAACAACGUGACUAACAACAUGGCCUCUCUCAUCAUCACAGAAGACAGAAAAUCCAGCACCUUGAUCCUGCCCCAGGUUACCUUGAGAGACUCUGCUGUGUACUACUGUGCUGUGAGUGACACAGUGGGACAGACGGGGCUGCACCUGUGCAAUAUCUCCCUGGCAAAAGAAGGUGGGGGAGGCAGCAGCUAUUCAGAGCAAAUCUAG